rnacentral:rRNA from 1 species
GAUGAACGCUGGCGGCGUGCUUAACACAUGCAAGUCGAACGGAAAGGCCCUGCUUUUGUGGGGUGCUCGAGUGGCGAACGGGUGAGUAACACGUGAGUAACCUGCCCUUGACUUUGGGAUAACUUCAGGAAACUGGGGCUAAUACCGGAUAGGAGCUCCUGCUGCAUGGUGGGGGUUGGAAAGUUUCGGCGGUUGGGGAUGGACUCGCGGCUUAUCUGCUUGUUGGUGGGGUAGUGGCUUACCACGGCUUUGACGGGUCGCCGGCCUGAGAGGGUGACCGGCCACAUUGGGACUGGGAUACGGCCCAAACUCCUACGGAGGGAAGCAGGGGGGAAAAUGGCACAAUGGGCGGAGGCCGGAUGCAGGAACGCCGCGUGCGGGAUAACGGCCUUCGGGUGUAAAACCGCUUUCGCCUGUGACGAGGCGUGAGUGACGGUAAUUGGUAAAGAAGCACCGGCUAACUACGUG